rnacentral:rRNA from 1 species
UACAGAGGUCCCAAGCGUUGUUCGGAUUCACUGGGCGUAAAGGGUGCGCAGGUGGGUUGGCAAGUUUGAUGUGAAAGCCCCGGGCUUAACCCGGGAAUGGCAUUGAAUACUGCUGAUCUGGAGGAUUGGAGGGGGACUGGAAUUCUUGGUGUAGCAGUGAAAUGCGUAGAUAUCAGGAGGAACACCAGUGGCGAAGGCGGCUCCACUGGACCGGUAACUGACGCUGAGGCGACGAAAGCGUGGGAGCAAACGGG